rnacentral:rRNA from 1 species
GAGUUUGAUCCUGGCUCAGAUUGAACGCUGGCGGCAGGCCUAACACAUGCAAGUCGAGCGGAUGAAGGGAGCUUGCUCCUGGAUUCAGCGGCGGACGGGUGAGUAAUGCCUAGGAAUCUGCCUGGUAGUGGGGGAUAACGUCCGGAAACGGGCGCUAAUACCGCAUACGUCCUGAGGGAGAAAGUGGGGGAUCUUCGGACCUCACGCUAUCAGAUGAGCCUAGGUCGGAUUAGCUAGUUGGUGGGGUAAAGGCCUACCAAGGCGACGAUCCGUAACUGGUCUGAGAGGAUGAUCAGUCACACUGGAACUGAGACACGGUCCAGACUCCUACGGGAGGCAGCAGUGGGGAAUAUUGGACAAUGGGCGAAAGCCUGAUCCAGCCAUGCCGCGUGUGUGAAGAAGGUCUUCGGAUUGUAAAGCACUUUAAGUUGGGAGGAAGGGCGAGUAAGUUAAUACCUUGCUGUUUGUACGUUACCAACAGAAUAAGCACCGGCUAACUUCGUGCCAGCCG